rnacentral:rRNA from 1 species
CCUACGGGAGGCAGCAGUAGGGAAUUUUCGUCAAUGGGCGAAAGCCUGAACGAGCGAUGCCGCGUGAGUGAAGAAGGCCUUCGGGUCGUAAAGCUCUGUUGCGGGGGAAAAAAGGCAGCAUCUGGAAAUGGAUGCUGACUGAUGGUGCUCCGCCAGAAAGUCACGGCUAACAACGUGCCAGCAGCCGCGGUAAUACGUAGGUGGCUAGCGUUAUCCGGAAUGAUUGGGCGUAAAGGGUGCGCAGGCGGCCCUGCAAGUCUGGAGUGAAACGCAUGGGCUCAACUCAUGAAUGGGUUUGGAAACUGGAGGACUGGAGAGCAGGAGAGGGCAGUGGAACUCCAUGUGUAGCGGUAAAAUGCGUAGAUAUAUGGAAGAACACCAGUGGCGAAGGCGGCCGCCUGGACUGUUGCUGACGCUGAGGCGCGAAAGCGUGGGGAGCAAAUAGGAUUAGAUACCCUUGUAGUC